rnacentral:lncRNA from 1 species
ACUUGCCCCAUUGUGGACCAUAGGUGGGAUUCUCAGUAUUAAUCCCUGUGAGUAAAUUUUCUUCAGCACCCUACAGUAAUUAACAUUUACUCAUGUUUACUUUGUUAGCAUGGGUACUGCCCUUUGAUAAUUGUGUUAGUAUUUUCCUUAUAUACAUUUUCUUGAUAACUGCUUUUUUUUUUUAACAUCCUGGGCCCCUCCUUUUACUUGCAUCUACUUGUUAAUAAAUUGUAGUAUUCCCUACACCAUUACUAGCUCACUCUUUUACCUACGGACCUCAUAGACCCUAGAUGGUAAGUUAUAUGCUUUUAACAUAUUGGGCUUCUAGACUUUUUGUCUAGGCCAUGUUUUCCUUUCCUUUUCCUCCUUCCUUUUGUUUAUAUUGUAUGCUCUUGUUUUUUACUCUGAUAAAGCUCCGUGCCUUAAUUCGAAUAUCCUAUGAAGAUGAAGAACUUUAUUCUCGCAUUUAUUUAUAGACAGCAUUUUGGCAACGGAUCGGAAACGGCCUUUCCUGAACAGUGGACUUCGUUUUUCAGCCAAAACUGAGUUGUUGACCCACAAGAGUCAGCUGAGUUAUACUUUUGGUGAAAAUACUGUUUAAAGUGUCAAGAUAUAUCAAAUAAAGCAAUUCAAAGUGCAACUGAAAUUGAGGAGCUCCCUACUUUUGCAGG